UACGUAGGGUGCGAGCGUUGUCCGGAAUUAUUGGGCGUAAAGGGCUCGUAGGCGGUUUGUCGCGUCGGGAGUGAAAUCCACUGGCUUAACUGGUGGCUUGCUUUCGAUACGGGCAGACUGGAGGUAUGCAGGGGAGAACGGAAUUCCUGGUGUAGCGGUGAAAUGCGCAGAUAUCAGGAGGAACACCGGUGGCGAAGGCGGUUCUCUGGGCAUGUCCUGACGCUGAUGCGCGAAAGCCAGGGGAGCAAACGGG
rnacentral:rRNA from 1 species